ACCGGAUUUAAGUGCCGUUUGAGGCAAAACGAAGCCCACGACGAGCUUUACGCGCUAGUGUAAGCAAUUUCAGAUUUGGUGCUUCCUAGGGAGUUCGAAAUUAGAGACCCACUUUCAAGGGUUUUGUUCAAUUUAGAGGAAACGGGAAAGAAGUGGCGGAUGACUUUCCACUACAGGCCUAAUUUGGAUUAUAAGACUUCUUUUUGCUAUUUUUUGUAUUAAGUCCCAUAUUUUUUUAUAAAAUCUUAGUUUGUUAUAUUUGGUAUAGAGAUUUUGUGAACUCUUGUUAUUGUACUAUAUUUUGGGACUGUAAUUAUGAUAAUUUGGAUUAAAUGGUAUGUAAAUGUUCCACCAUGAGAUGAGCCA